rnacentral:ncRNA from 1 species
ACUAUAUAAAGAUAUAUAACCACCAGAUAGGUUGGUAUCUCCCUUUAUAGUAUUUUAAAUUCGAAACUUGUUGAUAAUUUGUUGUGUAACUUCAUUUAAAUGAAUUGAAACAAAUUUAAUACAAGUGGAUGUAGGAUAACCGUCCGUCCUUUACAUUGGUAUAAAAGUGAUCUAAAAUUCUAUUUAUAAUUUUUUAUAGAUUUUUAGUGACGGUCAU